AUUGAACGCUGGCGGCAGGCCUAACACAUGCAAGUCGAGCGGUUGAAGGGAGCUUGCUCCUGGAUUCAGCGGCGGACGGGUGCGUAAUGCCUAGGAAUCUGCCUGGUAGUGGGGGAUACCGUCCGGAAACGGGCGCUAAUACCGCAUACGUCCUGAGGGCGAAAGUGUGGGAUCUUCGGACCUCACGCUAUCAGAUGAGCCUAGGUCGGAUUAGCGAGUUGGUGGGGUAAAGGCCUACCAAGGCGACGAUCCGGAACUGGUCUGAGAGGAUGAUCAGUCACACUGGAACUGAGACACGGUCCAGACUACUACGGGAGGCAGCAGUGGGGAAUAUUGGACAAUGGGCGAAAGCCUGAUCCAGCCAUGCCGCGUGUGUGAAGAAGGUCUUCGGAUUGUAAAGCACUUUAAGUUGGGAGGAAGGGCAGUAAGUUAAUACCUUGCUGUUUUGACGUUACCAACAGAAUAAGCACCGGCUAACUUCGUG
rnacentral:rRNA from 1 species